rnacentral:rRNA from 1 species
GACGUAGGAUGCAAGCGUUGUCCGGAUUUAUUGGGCGUAAAGAGUUCGUAGGCUGUUUGUUAAGUCUGGUGUUAAAGACUGAGGCCCAACCUCGGAAAUGCAUCGGAUACUGGCAGACUUGAGUACGGUAGAGGCGAGUGGAAUUCCCAGUGUAGCGGUGAAAUGCGUAGAUAUUGGGAAGAACACCAGUGGCGAAGGCGGCUUUCUGGCCCGUUCUUGACGCUGAGGCGCGAAAGCUAGGGUAGCAAACGGG